rnacentral:lncRNA from 1 species
AAAUGAAUGAAUCUAAAUGUAAUUUCAAAAAAAAAAAAGAUUUGGAUGAACAAAGGGAAAAAAAAUCGCUGCUGCUCCCUGCCCCUGCACAUUCCCUGUACACACUUCCUCCUUAGACAGCUGUGACGAAUGCUAGCUUCAUGUCCUGUCUCAUAAAACAUGACUUACAAAGUGACAUGAGCUUAGAAUUGUGAAAUUCUUCCCCCUUAGAAUGUCACCAAGAGAAAAAUCUUGCCCCCAGAGAGUAGAUUCUGGAAAUGUGGACUGUCCACAGUUUGUCUGGGUUUGAUAGAAUCAACUUUAGGACCCCUGAACUGGGAGAGCCAGAGAUUUUGGAUUUCCAUGGGGGCCAUGAUGUCAAUUAAGCUACCUCAAAGACCUCUGAGAGACCUUAUUUGGCAAUGAUGUUAGAGGCUGAGAUUUGGCUGGGGCUACUGUCACAAGAAGGACAGGAUUUUAUCCACACAUAGCAACGCACCAUAUCUUUUGGCAAAGGAAGGGAGAAGCAAAAGCACAAUGUGAUUUUAAAGAAGAAACAAGUAAAAUAUGGAAGAGGCAAGGAUCAAGUUUUCCACACCUCAGUGCCCAUGAAUGUCACAGCUGUCAAACGUCUGUACACAAGAAGAUAAAAAAUGAAAUUAAUAAAAGGCAGAUCAAC